rnacentral:rRNA from 1 species
CUGCGGCCAUACCAUGCUGAAUAUACCGGUUCUCGUUGGAUCACCGAAGUCAAGCAUCAUUGGGCGCGGUCAGUACUUGGGUGGGUGUCCACCUGGGAACACCGCUUGCCGU